rnacentral:rRNA from 1 species
AUUAACGCUAGCGGCAGGCAUAAUACAUGCAAGUUGAACGGCAGCACAGGUAGCAAUACCGGGUGGCGAGUGGCGCACGGGUGCGUAACACGUAGGUAACCUACCUUUUAGAUUGGGAUAACAGUUGGAAACGAUUGCUAAUACCAAAUGAUAUAUAGGAGGGGAACUUUCUAUAGUAAAAGGGUGCUUUAAAGCAUCGCUUUAAGAUGGGCCUGCGGUGUAUUAGCUAGUUGGUAGGGUAAUG